GCUUAUAUAGUGUAAUGGUAGCACGUUGAGGCAAAUGUCAUUUGCUCCUCUACUGUGCUAGUUCGAUUCUAGCUAUAAGCA